rnacentral:rRNA from 1 species
GAUGAACGCUAGCGGCAGGCCUAACACAUGCAAGUCGAGGGGUAUAAAAGAGCUUGCUUUUUUAGAGACCGGCAAACGGGUGCGGAACACGUACGCAAUCUGCCCUUAUCACGGGGAUAGCCCAGAGAAAUUUGGAUUAAUACCCGAUAGUAUUAUAAUAAGGCAUCUUGUUGUAAUUAAAGCUAUGGCGGAUAAGGAUGAGCGUGCGCAAGAUUAGCUAGUUGGUGAGGUAACGGCUCACCAAGGCGACGAUCUUUAGCUGAUGUGAGAGCAUGAUCAGCCACACGGGCACUGAGACACGGGCCCGACUCCUACGGGAGCAGCAGUGAGGAAUAUUGGUCAAUGGACGGAAGUCUGAACCAGCCAUGCCGCGUGAAGGAU